UACAGAGGGUGCAAGCGUUGUUCGGAAUCAUUGGGCGUAAAGGGUGCGUAGGCGGCGCGGUAAGUCGGGUGUGAAAUCUCGGAGCUUAACUCCGAAACUGCAUUCGAUACUGCCGUGCUUGAGGACUGGAGAGGAGACUGGAAUUUACGGUGUAGCGGUGGAAUGCGUAGAUAUCGUAAGGAAGACCAGUGGCGAAGGCGGGUCUCUGGACAGUUCCUGACGCUGAGGCACGAAGGUCAGGGGAGCAAACGGG
rnacentral:rRNA from 1 species